rnacentral:rRNA from 1 species
UGAACGCUGGCGGCGUGCUUAACACAUGCAAGUCGUACGAGAAAUCUCCUGCUUGCAGGAGAGAGUAAAGUGGCGAACGGGUGAGUAACGCGUGGGUAAUCUGCCUCCGAAUCAGGGAUAACAUUGCGAAAGCGAUGCUAAUACCAGAUAGUCUCCUGUGACUCCGGUCAUCAGGAUUAAAGGUGGCCUCUACAUGUAAGCUACUGUUUGGAGAGGAGCCCGCGUACCAUUAGCUUGUUGGCGGGGUAACGGCCCACCAAGGCAACGAUGGUUAGCUGGUCUGAGAGGAUGAUCAGCCACACUGGAACUGAGACACGGUCCAGACUCCUACGGGAGGCAGCAGUGAGGAAUCUUGCGCAAUGGGGGAAACCCUGACGCAGCAACGCCGUGUGAGUGAUGAAGGCUUUCGGGUCGUAAAGCUCUGUCACGUGGGAAGAAACUGUCUGAUACCAAUACUAUCAGGCACUGACGGUACCACGAAAGGAAGCACCGGCUAACUCC